rnacentral:lncRNA from 1 species
UAAUUUAAAAAUAUUAUAUUAUUUUAUCAUUAUUAAUACUAAUUAACUCUAUAUUAUUAAAAAAGAUAUUAGAACUGGGGUUCUUUGUGGGUAAUUUUUAUGGCUUUUAUGCUCAAACUUCUACUUUUGACUUAAUUGACUAGGAAUGUAAAGCACAUUUUCAUACAUGGACACGAGAACUGAUAUUUUUUAAUAAAUUAUUUCAACCUGAUUCUUUUCACAUUAAUAAUAAAUAAAUCCCACAUUUAUUUCACAUUGUAAAUAAAUCCCACAUUCAUGAUGCAAAAGAGACUUGGAACUAUCAUUUUUUUUCAGGUGAAAAUGUUAGUUUCCAUUAAAAAAAAACCUGAUUUUUUUUUUACUUAACUACACUCCCUAUUAUCCUAAGCUCUUUCUAUGGCAAUAUAGAGAGAUGCUAUCAUUAAUUACAAUUGAAAUACUGAUUAAAAAUGCAUCAAAAGCAAUUAUUAUUUAUUGGUAAAUAUUUUCACAACAUAUUAAACUUCAAUCUUGCCCAGAAAACUGAUCACUCAUGAACCAACAUAUGAUAAAAAGUACAAAUACUAUCUCCUACUAUCACAAUCUCUCUAUAAAUAAAAAUUAAUAUUGUAGUAUACAAUUGAUUGACUAGGAAAAAUUAAAAGGAAAAAGAAAAAAUAAAUCAUCAAAAAAACUACAAAAAAUAAAUACAUUCAACUAUUUAAGGUCAACUCCCAAGAUCUGUACAGCCAAUAAGAAUCUAGUUAGUUCUCCUUCUCUAUACAGGCCUUGCAAAUAUUAUGUUAGAUUCAUGACCCCUGCGCAAACCUACAGAUCAGAAAUUUAUAAAUAUAUACAUAUAGAUUACAUAUAUACACAUGUAUAUAUUUAGAUAUAUAGAUGUAUAGAAAAAACCGAAAAGUGAAUGCCUGGACAGAUGUAUUUGACUUUCCUCAAGGACCAUAAAUGGAAAAAAAGGAAACUAUUUUAGAUUGUGGAAGAACAGAAACUAAAUUAGGAUGCCAUAUACGUAGACAGAGAAUCUAACAUUUUAUCUCCUUGUGAAGAGUUAAUAAAACACAUACAUAUUUGCACGUGUAUAUAUAUAUAUAUGUAUAUAUAUAUAUAUAUAUAUAUAUAUAUAACACAUACAUAUACAUGUAUAUAUAUAUAUGUACAUAUACAUACAUCUCCUUGUGAAGAGUUGAUAAAACACAUACAUAUUUGCACGUGUAUAUAUAUAUAUAUAUACAUAUAUGUAUAUAUAUAUAUAUAUAUAUAUAUAUAUAUAUAUAUGUAUACAUAUAACACAUACAUAUACAUGUACAUAAGCACGAUAUGAUUAAUAUAUAAAAGGAGAUUAGAAUAGAGUAAAGUGUAGAGCUCCCUUCAAUCCAAACAAGGAUCUGAAGCUGGGUAAUGCAGCUCCUGAUAUAUGCAAGCCACAAGCUUAUCCUCCAUAUAGAUAAAGGAAUGGGAUAGGGCUUGAGGGAUCCAUAGAUCAGCAGCUCUAUUUUCCCACAAAGUUCCUCUAUUGGACUUUAAGGAGCUCCACUCAAAACUCUUUAACAUAAAAAUUAGAAGAAAUAAAUAGUUAAGAAAAUUAUCAAGAAUUAACUUUUUCUAGUAAAAUUCAUAAAACCCAAAAACCAAAAAUCUAGAUGUAUAAAAUCUGAAACUAAAAAUCUUACCUUUACAAGAUCCCAAUACGAAAUGAUUAAAAGGUAAUCAUCAAGAAACAAACUAUGUCCUAAAAUCAAUGGAACCCAUAAAAACCCACAACUAUGAAAUAAAAAAAUCAAGAAAAUAUUCUAGAGACGGCAGAUCUAUGAAUAUCUAACCACACCCUUGUACAAAUAUAGGGUUGUUAAGAAAACCCAUGAAUCUUUUCAUCAAAACUAGGAGCAUGAGAGAUCUAAAAAGAAAAUCAAACCAUUUCUUGACCUAAGAUCUAGUUU